UGAUCCUCAUUCAAGUUGCAUUUUACAAAAUUUACACAAGACACAAAAUCAAACCUGUGCUAUCAAGUAGAUUUCAAUAUCAGCAAUUUAGCAUAAGUUUAAAAGUGUUACUGUUCACAGGGACUAGAUAAAUGCAUGAAUUUGCUUUGUACUUGCUCCCUCUCAAUUCUUCCUUUCUUUGCUAUAAGUCUCAAUUUGCCCAAUCUUCAUGAAUAACCUAUAAAAGAUAAACAAAUAUAACUUUUGAGUUUAAUGAGGGUAAAAACUAAAAUGAGAUAAAAUAGAAAAUUAAUAAACUAUAAAAGGA
rnacentral:misc_RNA from 1 species